rnacentral:rRNA from 1 species
AGCGGCCGCGGUAAUUCCAGCUCCAAUAGCGUAUAUUAAAGUUGUUGCAGUUAAAAAGCUCGUAGUUGAAUUUCGGGAUCAAAGGAUCGGUCAUGCCUUGGUAUGUACUGGUUUUAUUGGUUCUCACCUUCUAAAGAACCAUAAUGUCAUUCAUUUGAUGUUAUGGGGAAUUAGGACUGUUACCUUGAAAAAAUUAGAGUGUUUAAAGCAGGCUUACGCUUGAAUACAUUAGCAUGGAAUAAUGAAAUAGGACAUCAGAUUCUAUUUUGUUGGUUUCUAGGAUCGAUGUAAUGAUUAAUAGGGAUAGUUGGGGGCAUUAGUAUUCAAUUGUCAGAGGUGAAAUUCUUGGAUUUAUUGAAGACUAACUACUGCGAAAGCAUUUGCCAAGGAUGUUUUCAUUAAUCAAGAACGAAAGUUAGGGGAUCGAAGACGAUCAGAUACCGUCGUAGUCUUAACCAUAAACUAUGCCGACUAGGGAUCGGAUGAUGUUAAUUUUAUAAUGACUCAUUCGG